rnacentral:rRNA from 1 species
UACGAAGGGGGCUAGCGUUGCUCGGAAUCACUGGGCGUAAAGCGCACGUAGGCGGCUUUCUAAGUCAGGGGUGAAAUCCUGGAGCUCAACUCCAGAACUACCUUUGAUACUGGAAAGCUUGAGUUCGGGAGAGGUGAGUGGAACUGCGAGUGUAGAGGUGAAAUUCGUAGAUAUUCGCAAGAACACCAGUGGCGAAGGCGGCUCACUGGCCCGAUACUGACGCUGAGGUGCGAAAGCGUGGGGAGCAAACAGG